GAUGAACGCUGGCGGCGUGCCUAAUACAUGCAAGUCGAGCGAACGGACGAGAAGCUUGCUUCUCUGAUGUUAGCGGCGGACGGGUGAGUAACACGUGGAUAACCUACCUAUAAGACUGGGAUAACUUCGGGAAACCGGAGCUAAUACCGGAUAAUAUUUUGAACCGCAUGGUUCAAAAGUGAAAGACGGUCUUGCUGUCACUUAUGGAUGGAUCCGCGCUGCAUUAGCUAGUUGGUAAGGUAACGGCUUACCAAGGCAACGAUGCAUAGCCGACCUGAGAGGGGGAUCGGCCACACUGGAACUGAGACACGGUCCAGACUCCUACGGGAGGCAGCAGUAGGGAAUCUUCCGCUAUGGGCGAAAGCCUGACGGAGCAACGCCGCGUGAGUGAUGAAGGUCUUCGGAUCGUAAAACUCUGUUAUUAGGGAAGAACAUAUGUGUAAGUAACUGUGCACAUCUUGACGGUACCUAAUCAGAAAGCCACGGCUAACUACGUG
rnacentral:rRNA from 1 species